rnacentral:rRNA from 1 species
GGAUUAGAUACCCUGGUAGUCCACGCCGUAAACGAUGUGCACUAAAUAUUGGAGGAUUUACCCCUUCAGUGUUGUAGCUAACGCGUUAAGUGCACCGCCUGGGGAGUACGGUCGCAAGACUAAAACUCAAAGGAAUUGACGGGGGCCCGCACAAGCGGUGGAUUAUGUGGUUUAAUUCGAAGCAACGCGCAGAACCUUACCUAGGCUUGAAAUCCCGAGAAUCUAACUGAAAGGUUGGAGUGCUCUUCGGAGAAUUCGGUGACAGGCGCUGCAUGGCUGUCGUCAGCUCGUGUUG